rnacentral:rRNA from 1 species
AGCAGUCGCCGCGGGAAUACGUAGGUCCCGAGCGUUGUCCGGAUUUAUUGGGCGUAAAGCGAGCGCAGGCGGUUAGAUAAGUCUGAAGUUAAAGGCUGUGGCUUAACCAUAGUACGCUUUGGAAACUGUUUAACUUGAGUGCAAGUGGGGAGAGUGGAAUUCCAUGUGUAGCGGUGAAAUGCGUAGAUAUAUGGAGGAACACCGGUGGCGAAAGCGGCUCUCUGGCUUGUAACUGACGCUGAGGCUCGAAAGCGUGGGGAGCAAACAGGAUUAGAGACCCCUGUAGUCCCUGUCUCUUAUACA